CCUCCCGGGUGCGAGGCAUCAUCGCUGAGCAUGUCCUGGUGUUUGGGUCCUGCGGGGGCCGUUUCCGGUCCCACAGGGCUGGGGAGUCUUCAGUAAUCAGUCCUGGCUCUGAUGUAUUAGUCACCUCGUCGGUGGCACUUUGGAAACAGUCUGCGAAGACCGAUUCCAAUAUUUUGGAAACAUACAAGAUCCUGAAGCCACAUCAACAUUUCUCUCAAUGGGCAGAUGAUGUGCCCGGCUCAGCUGCUGGCAUUUGAAUCUAGCAAAACUCCUUCCAACAAUGAAUGUCAUAUUGUAUACAUUAAAUG
rnacentral:lncRNA from 1 species